rnacentral:rRNA from 1 species
UACGGAGGGUGCGAGCGUUGUCCGGAAUCACUGGGCGUAAAGGGCGCGUAGGCGGCGCGGCAAGUCCAUGGUGAAAGCUCGUGGCUCAACUGCGAGUCGGCCAAGGAUACUGCUGCGCUCGAGCACUGUAGAGGCAGGUGGAAUUCCGGGGUGUAGCGGUGGAAUGCGUAGAGAUCCGGAAGAACACCGGUGGCGAAGGC